rnacentral:rRNA from 1 species
UUUGGUUAAGUUAGAAAGGGUGUAUGGUGAAUGUUUUGGUAUUAGGAGUUGAAGAAGGAUGUGAUGAAUGGUGAAAUGUUUUGGGGAGUUGUAAGUGAGUUUUGAUUUGAGGAUAUUUGAAUGGGGGAAUUUAUUAUUUGUAAUGGAAUAGUAUUUAUAUUUGAAUAUAUAGGGUAUGAGGAGGUAGAUUUGGGGAAUUGAAAUAUUUAAGUAUUUAGAGGAAGAGAAAGUAAAUGUGAUUAUUUGAGUAGUGGUGAGUGAAAUGGUAUUAGUUUAAAUUAAGAGGUUUGUUUUUUGGGGUUGUAGGAUAUUUUAUAUGGAGUUAUAAAGAAAUAGGAUAGGUGAAGUGAUUUGGAAAGGUUUGUGAUAUAAGGUAAUAGUUUUGUAGUUGAAAUUUUAUUUUUUUUUGAGUGGAUUUUGAGUAUGGUGGGAUAUGUGAAAUUUUGUUGGAAUUUGGGAGGAUUAUUUUUUAAGGUUAAAUAUUUUUUAGUGAUUGAUAGUGAAUUAGUAUUGUGAGGGAAAGGUGAAAAGUAUUUUGGAAGGGGAGUGAAAUAGAUUUUGAAAUUGUGUGUUUAUAAUUAGUUGGAGUUUGUUAAUGGGUGAUAGUGUGUUUUUUGUAGAAUGAAUUGGUGAGUUAUGAUGUUGUGUAAGGUUAAGUUGAUAAGGUGGAGUUGUAGUGAAAGUGAGUUUGAAUAGGGUGAAUGAGUAUGUUGUUGUAGAUUUGAAAUUGUGUGAUUUAUUUAUGUUUAGGGUGAAGUUUAGGUAAUAUUGAAUGGAGGUUUGAAUUUAUGUAUGUUGAAAAAUGUGGGGAUGAGGUGUGGGUAGGGGUGAAAUGUUAAUUGAAUUUGGAAAUAGUUGGUUUUUUUUGAAAUAGUUUUAGGGUUAGUUUUGAGGUUGAGAGUUUUGGAGGUAGAGUAUUGAUUGGAUUAGGGGUUUUUAUAGGAUUAUUGAAUUUAGUUAAAUUUUGAAUGUUAAAAAUUUUUAUUUGGGAGUUAGAUUGUGAGUGUUAAGAUUUGUAGUUAAGAGGGAAAUAGUUUAGAUUAUUAGUUAAGGUUUUAAAGUAUAUGUUAAGUGGAAAAGGAUGUGGAGUUGUUUAGAUAAUUAGGAUGUUGGUUUAGAAGUAGUUAUUAUUUAAAGAGUGUGUAAUAGUUUAUUGGUUGAGUGAUUUUGUGUUGAAAAUGUAUUGGGGUUAAAUGUAUUAUUGAAGUUAUGGAUUGAUAUUUUAGGUGUUAGUGGUAGGGGAGUGUUUUAAGUGUAGUGAAGUUAGAUUGUGAGGAUUGGUGGAGUGUUUAGAAGUGAGAAUGUUGGUAUGAGUAGUGAAAAGAGGGGUGAGAAUUUUUUUUGUUGAAAGUUUAAGGUUUUUUGAGGAAGGUUUGUUUGUUUAGGGUAAGUUGGGAUUUAAGUUGAGGUUGAAAAGUGUAGGUGAUGGAUAAUAGGUUGAAAUUUUUGUAUUAUUUUUUUAUUGUUUGAGUAAUGGGGGGAUGUAGUAAGGUAGGGUAAGUGUAUUGAUGGAUAUGUGUGUUUAAGUAAUUAGGUUGAGAAGUAGGUAAAUUUGUUUUUUGUGAAGGUUGAGUUGUGAUGGUGAGGGAAAUUUAGUAUUGAAGUUUUUGAUUUUUUAUUGUUAAGAAAAGUUUUUAGUGAGGUGAGAGGUGUUUGUAUUGUAAAUUGAUAUAGGUAGGUGAGAAGAGAAUUUUAAGAUGUUUGGGAGAAUUUUUGUUAAGGAAUUUGGUAAAAUGAUUUUGUAAUUUUGGGAGAAGGGGUGUUUUGGUAGGGUGUAUGUUUGAGAGAGUUGUAGUGAAAAGAUUUAAGUGAUUGUUUAGUAAAAAUAUAGGUUUUUGUGAAGUUGUAAGGUGAAGUAUAGGGGUUGAUAUUUGUUUGGUGUUGGAAGGUUAAGAGGAGGGGUUAUUUUUUAUGGGAGAAGUUUUGAAUUGAAGUUUUAGUAAAUGGUGGUUGUAAUUAUAAUGGUUUUAAGGUAGUGAAAUUUUUUGUUGGGUAAGUUUUGAUUUGUAUGAAUGGUGUAAUGAUUUGGAUAUUGUUUUAAUGAGAGAUUUGGUGAAAUUAUAGUAUUUGUGAAGAUGUAGGUUAUUUGUGAUAGGAUGGAAAGAUUUUAUGGAGUUUUAUUGUAGUUUGAUAUUGGAUGUUGGUAUAGUUUGUAUAGGAUAGGUAGGAGUUUUGGAAGUUGGAGUGUUAGUUUUGAUGGAGGUGUUGGUGGGAUAUUAUUUUGAUUGUGUUGAUAUUUUAAUUUUGAGUUGUGAUUUGGUUUAGGGAUAGUGUUAGGUGGGUAGUUUGAUUGGGGUGGUUGUUUUUUAAAUAGUAAUGGAGGUGUUUAAAGGUUUUUUUAGAAUGGUUGGAAAUUAUUUGUAGAGUGUAAAGGUAAAAGGGAGUUUGAUUGUGAGAUUUAUAAGUUGAGUAGGGAUGAAAGUUGGGUUUAGUGAUUUGGUGGUUUUGUAUGGAAGGGUUAUUGUUUAAUGGAUAAAAGUUAUUUUGGGGAUAAUAGGUUUAUUUUUUUUAAGAGUUUAUAUUGAUGGGGAGGUUUGGUAUUUUGAUGUUGGUUUAUUGUAUUUUGGGGUUGAAGUAGGUUUUAAGGGUUGGGUUGUUUGUUUAUUAAAGUGGUAUGUGAGUUGGGUUUAGAAUGUUGUGAGAUAGUUUGGUUUUUAUUUGUUGUGGGUGUAGGAAAUUUGAGAGGAGUUGUUUUUAGUAUGAGAGGAUUGGGAUGGAUAUAUUGUUGGUGUAUUAGUUGUUUUGUUAGGAGUAUUGUUGGGUAGUUAUGUGUGGAUGGGAUAAGUGUUGAAAGUAUUUAAGUAUGAAGUUUUUUUUAAGAUGAGAUUUUUUAUGGAGUUAAUUUAGUAAGAUUUUUUAGAGAUGAUGAGGUUGAUAGGUUUGGUGUGGAAGUAUGGUGAUAUGUGGAGUUGAUAGAUAUUAAUUGGUUGAGGAUUUAUUUAA